CGCGGGGUGGAGCAGCCCGGUAGCUCGCGAGGCUCAUAACCUCGAGGUCGCAGGUUCGAAUCCUGUCCCCGCCA
rnacentral:tRNA from 16 species